rnacentral:misc_RNA from 1 species
AAGUCGUAACAAGGUUUCCGUAGGUGAACCUGCGGAAGGAUCAUUAUUGAUUUUUAAAGCAAACCAAGCUUUUUUAAUAAAGUAAGGUUUUGCGAACAUAUUUAAAACCCCACUCUUUUAAAUAAAUUUUCAUUCAUAUUAUAUAUUAUGAAUAAAAAAAAGAUCACUUUCAACAACGGAUCUCUUGGCUCUC